GUAGGAGCUUAGGCUCCCAAAGGCA
rnacentral:snRNA from 1 species